rnacentral:misc_RNA from 1 species
CGACGGCGGCGGCCCAGCUUGCAUCGUCGGUGACAUCGAGCGCGACGAAGUCUGCCUUGGCGCCGGCAGCGGAGAGCGCCUUUGCGGUCUGCUGGCCGAGGUCGGUCAGCACGUCACCGAUCACGACCGAGGCACCGGCUUUGGUCAGGGCCUCGGCCAUGCCGGCGCCGAGACCGCGUGCGCCGCCGGUCACCAACGCCUUGCGUCCGGUCAGAUUGAAUACGCUCAUGUAAUUUCCUCCGGGUUGUUUGUUGAGCAGGCAAGCCGCCGCCAUUCGUCAGCGGG